rnacentral:rRNA from 1 species
UACGUAGGGGGCGAGCGUUGUCCGGAAUCACUGGGCGUAAAGGGUGCGUAGGCGGCAUAAUAAGUCAGAUGUGAAAUCCCAGGGCUUAACCCUGGAGUUGCAUUUGAAACUGUGAUGCUUGAGUGCAGGAGAGGGAAGCGGAAUUCCUAGUGUAGCGGUGAAAUGCGUAGAGAUUAGGAGGAACACCAGUGGCGAAGGCGGCUUUCUGGACUGUAACUGACGCUGAGGCACGAAAGCGUGGGGAGCGAACAGGAUUAGAUACC